CUGUAAGCCUGUGAAGGUGUACUGUGAGGUAUGCUGGAGGUAUCAGAAGUGCGAAUGCUGACAUAAGUAACGAUAAAGCGGGUGAAAAGCCCGCUCGCCGGAAGACCAAGGGUUCCUGUCCAACGUUAAUCGGGGCAGGGUGAGUCGACCCCUAAGGCGAGGCCGAAAGGCGUAGUCGAUGGGAAACAGGUUAAUAUUCCUGUACUUGGUGUUACUGCGAAGGGGGGACGGAGAAGGCUAUGUUGGCCGGGCGACGGUUGUCCCGGUUUAAGCGUGUAGGCUGGUUUUCCAGGCAAAUCCGGAAAAUCAAGGCUGAGGCGUGAUGACGAGGCACUACGGUGCUGAAGCAACAAAUGCCCUGCUUCCAGGAAAAGCCUCUAAGCAUCAGGUAACAUCAAAUCGUACCCCAAACCGACACAGGUGGUCAGGUAGAGAAUACCAAGGCGCUUGAGAGAACUCGGGUGAAGGAACUAGGCAAAAUGGUGCCGUAACUUCGGGAGAAGGCACGCUGAUAUGUAGGUGAAGUCCCUCGCGGAUGGAGCUGAAAUCAGUCGAAGAUACCAGCUGGCUGCAACUGUUUAUUAAAAACACAGCACUGUGCAAACACGAAAGUGGACGUAUACGGUGUGACGCCUGCCCGGUGC
rnacentral:rRNA from 1 species